rnacentral:rRNA from 2 species
GGGCCAGUGGGGGCGUGCUAUACAUGCAAGUCGAGCGGACAGAAGGGAGCUUGCUCCCGGAUGUUAGCGGCGGACGGGUGAGUAACACGUGGGUAACCUGCCUGUAAGACUGGGAUAACUCCGGGAAACCGGAGCUAAUACCGGAUAGUUCCUUGAACCGCAUGGUUCAAGGAUGAAAGACGGUUUCGGCUGUCACUUACAGAUGGACCCGCGGCGCAUUAGCUAGUUGGUGGGGUAAUGGCUCACCAAGGCGACGAUGCGUAGCCGACCUGAGAGGGUGAUCGGCCACACUGGGACUGAGACACGGCCCAGACUCCUACGGGAGGCAGCAGUAGGGAAUCUUCCGCAAUGGACGAAAGUCUGACGGAGCAACGCCGCGUGAGUGAUGAAGGUUUUCGGAUCGUAAAGCUCUGUUGUUAGGGAAGAACAAGUGCGAGAGUAACUGCUCGCACCUUGACGGUACCUAACCAGAAAGCCACGGCUAACUACGUGCCAGCAGCCGCGGUAAUACGUAGGUGGCAAGCGUUGUCCGGAAUUAUUGGGCGUAAAGGGCUCGCAGGCGGUUUCUUAAGUCUGAUGUGAAAGCCCCCGGCUCAACCGGGGAGGGUCAUUGGAAACUGGGAAACUUGAGUGCAGAAGAGGAGAGUGGAAUUCCACGUGUAGCGGUGAAAUGCGUAGAGAUGUGGAGGAACACCAGUGGCGAAGGCGACUCUCUGGUCUGUAACUGACGCUGAGGAGCGAAAGCGUGGGGAGCGAACAGGAUUAGAUACCCUGGUAGUCCACGCCGUAAACGAUGAGUGCUAAGUGUUAGGGGGUUUCCGCCCCUUAGUGCUGCAGCUAACGCAUUAAGCACUCCGCCUGGGGAGUACGGUCGCAAGACUGAAACUCAAAGGAAUUGACGGGGGCCCGCACAAGCGGUGGAGCAUGUGGUUUA